AGAGUUUGAUCAUGGCUCAGAUUGAACGCUGGCGGCAGGCCUAACACAUGCAAGUCGAACGGUAACAGGAGGCAGCUUGCUGCUUUGCUGACGAGUGGCGGACGGGUGAGUAAUGUCUGGGAAACUGCCUGAUGGAGGGGGAUAACUACUGGAAACGGUAGCUAAUACCGCAUAACGUCGCAAGACCAAAGAGGGGGACCUUCGGGCCUCUUGCCAUCGGAUGUGCCCAGAUGGGAUUAGCUUGUUGGUGGGGUAACGGCUCACCAAGGCGACGAUCCCUAGCUGGUCUGAGAGGAUGACCAGCCACACUGGAACUGAGACACGGUCCAGACUCCUACGGGAGGCAGCAGUGGGGAAUAUUGCACAAUGGGCGCAAGCCUGAUGCAGCCAUGCCGCGUGUAUGAAGAAGGCCUUCGGGUUGUAAAGUACUUUCAGCGGGGAGGAAGGGAGUAAAGUUAAUACCUUUGCUCAUUGACGUUACCCGCAGAAGAAGCACCGGCUAACUCCGUGCCAGCAGCCGCGGUAAUACGGAGGGUGCAAGCGUUAAUCGGAAUUACUGGGCGUAAAGCGCACGCAGGCGGUUUGUUAAGUCAGAUGUGAAAUCCCCGGGCUCAACCUGGGAACUGCAUCUGAUACUGGCAAGCUUGAGUCUCGUAGAGGGGGGUAGAAUUCCAGGUGUAGCGGUGAAAUGCGUAGAGAUCUGGAGGAAUACCGGUGGCGAAGGCGGCCCCCUGGACGAAGACUGACGCUCAGGUGCGAAAGCGUGGGGAGCAAACAGGAUUAGAUACCCUGGUAGUCCACGCCGUAAACGAUGUCGACUUGGAGGUUGUGCCCUUGAGGCGUGGCUUCCGGAGCUAACGCGUUAAGUCGACCGCCUGGGGAGUACGGCCGCAAGGUUAAAACUCAAAUGAAUUGACGGGGGCCCGCACAAGCGGUGGAGCAUGUGGUUUAAUUCGAUGCAACGCGAAGAACCUUACCUGGUCUUGACAUCCACAGAACUUUCCAGAGAUGGAUUGGUGCCUUCGGGAACUGUGAGACAGGUGCUGCAUGGCUGUCGUCAGCUCGUGUUGUGAAAUGUUGGGUUAAGUCCCGCAACGAGCGCAACCCUUAUCCUUUGUUGCCAGCGGUCCGGCCGGGAACUCAAAGGAGACUGCCAGUGAUAAACUGGAGGAAGGUGGGGAUGACGUCAAGUCAUCAUGGCCCUUACGACCAGGGCUACACACGUGCUACAAUGGCGCAUACAAAGAGAAGCGACCUCGCGAGAGCAAGCGGACCUCAUAAAGUGCGUCGUAGUCCGGAUUGGAGUCUGCAACUCGACUCCAUGAAGUCGGAAUCGCUAGUAAUCGUGGAUCAGAAUGCCACGGUGAAUACGUUCCCGGGCCUUGUACACACCGCCCGUCACACCAUGGGAGUGGGUUGCAAAAGAAGUAGGUAGCUUAACCUUCGGGAGGGCGCUUACCACUUUGUGAUUCAUGACUGGGGUGAAGUCGUAACAAGGUAACCGUAGGGGAACCUGCGGUUGGAUCACCU
rnacentral:rRNA from 1 species